AUCACCACCACCACCACCACCACCACCAAAUCAGAUGGAAGAUAAUGAUGAUGUCAUCACUAUGGAACAGGAUGUAGGAGAGACAAAUGUGUCACUUCAACACCUGAAACUGUGUCCAACUACAAUAUACCCAGAAUGCACUGUGGCCUACAAACAUGACCAACCAUGGACUACAACACAGAACACCGUCACAUUCCUUGUUCUCCGUCUUAGCAAAAAGAUUAGAGAGAGUUAAUUCACACCUAUUGGUUCUUAACCAGCUGUGCUCUUCUUUCAUUACACUAUCAGUCCUAUAAAUAUUAUCACUCAGCUUAAAUAUCACUCACAUCUCACCUCAAUAAUCUCAGUGAUUAUUCAUUAUAGUCUAAAUGACUUUAAUCUCAGCUGAAACCUUUUGAAACAAAACUGACGUAUAAG